rnacentral:lncRNA from 1 species
GGGCGGCCUAUAUAAGCUCUUGCUCGCGGCUUCAGCGCCCUUUCUCCCCGCCGCAUUCCCGGUGUCGACUUACUAGCUGCAAGCCUCUGCCUGCCUUCCUGCGCGCCGUUCCCCGCUAGUCGCUGCUGCUGGCGCGCACUCGCCGGGUUUUUCCUCCCACGGCCUCGAGAUGGUGGUGAAUGUGGCACGGAGGAGCCGGGCCUUCCAACCCGGUGGGCCCGAGCUCCGAAAGGCCCCCUCGGCAGUGAGAGGGGCGGGAGCCCGCGGGGGCCGCGCCCUUCUCUCGCUUCGGACUGCGCAACGCUGCGCUCUGGGCUGACAGGCGGAUAAAACGGUCCCAUCAAGACUGAGAAAAAGCACACCAGCUAUUGGCACAGCGUGGGCAGUGGGGCCUACAGGAUGACUGACUUAGUCUACAGAGAUCCCGGCGUACUUAAGCAGAUGAAGACUCUUAAGAUGACAGAAGGUGAUUUUUCUGGUGAUCGAGGACUUCCGGGGUAAUGACAGUGAUGAAAUGCAGGGGACCUGGUAGGUUUCUUUUGGAGACUAACUGGGGGCUGCCUGGUGGGACAGAACAGCAUGUUUCCAAGGGCUGUGGCUGGUCAUAGCCAUGGGAUCUCCAACUGCAUGCAAGAGCAACCUGGAAAGACUUUGACAGCGCAGGUCAGUACAAUACCUGCAAGCUGCCACUCAGCUUUCCUAUAAUGUUUCAGGACCAGGGCUGGAAGCCUUCCAUGUGUCAACUUCAAUGUAGAUGGGUUUUUUUUUUUUUUUUUUUUUGAGACGGAGUCUUGCUCUGUCACCCAGGCUGCUGGAGUGCAGUGGCAUGAUCUCGGCUCAUGGCAACCUCUGCCUCCUGGGUUCAAGCGACUCUCCUACCUCAUCCUCCCGAGUAGCUGGGAUUACAGGUGCCCACCAUCACACCCAGCUAAUUUUCUUGUAUUUUUAGUAGAGAUGGUUUUCACCAUGUUGGCUAGAUGGGUCUCGAACUUCUGACCUCGGGUGAUCCGCCCGACUCGGCCUCCCCUUCCAAAGUGCUGGGAUUACAGGCAUGAGCCACCGCUCCUGGCCAGUUUAGUUUUCACGCUAAGCUUUUUGUUCUGCAGGUUGCCCCCAAGUUUCCUGGCAGUGUGUGAUACUGAGGAGGUGAGCUUGUUUCUGGAGCUGUGCUUUAAGGUAAAGUUGAUCAGCUUAAUCCUCCUGAUCCCUUUCCCAUCGGAUCUGAACACUGGUCUUGGUGGUCGUAAAAGGAGGAAAAGUAAUAGUGAAGCUGGCCUAAAUGUUGUAAUCUGGUAUAUGGCAUGUGGGCUAGUUUCAGACAGGUUUCAGAGAUGGUUGGAUCUCUGAAAUUGUAAAAUGAAGUAUAAUCUUAGGCUAAGGGAAGGAUGCGUGUGAAGCUCUGGAGGUUGGUAUAGUAAUAGCUGACCUAUUACUGCAUUUGGGAGGGAUCUGUCAUAGCUUCCUUGCCUCUUAAUUAAGGGUGGUGUUUUUUUCUUUUAGAUUCAUGUUACAUGUAAAGCUGUCCUCAUUUGUGACUAUGGACCUAUGGAGUUGGGACAAUCUCUAUGGGAAGCAGAAGGCAAGGACCCCGGUCAUUUUAGGUAGAAACAACAGCAUGCUAAUGCAAAAAAUUAUGCAGUGUGCUACUGAACUUCAGAGGUGAUCAAUAAAAGAAGAAUAAAAAGACUAAUAAAAGUAUAUUUGUGUUUGUAUUUUUUUGUAGAGACCGAACUGGUCUCUUCCCGAGCUCAAGCAAUCCAUCUCCCAAAGUGAGCCACCAUGCCCAGCCCUUAAAGAGAUCUUUGGAGAUUUUUUAUGAUGUAGGAUGAAUGCUUUGCCUCAAGCAGUAAGUCCCAACACAUGACAAGGUUGGACAGUUUCCCCAUUUACUUGGGAAACACGGAAGUGAGCAGUAUAAAGUUCACACGGAGGGUCUGCUUUGGCUUUGAGCUAUCUUCCUUAAUCCUUUCUGAGCUGCCUUCUCCCGUGUCAAAAUAUUGAUCCUAAAGUGAUCCAGGCCUUGUAUAUGCAGAUGCUGCAACUCAUGAAAAUAGAUGAAACCCAUUAUUAGAGCAAGUACUAAUUCUUAGGCCAACUGGCCUGUUCCAUCACACCCCACCACAUUCUACCUUCUGGGGCGUGCUCCUACCACACCUGCUAGAGUGCCUUUUCUACCUAGCUGCCAGACUUGCACCAAGUUAGGACUCAAAUAUGGCAGGUCCUACAAAUACUCCAGAGAACCCUGAUUUACAUACCUACCUGUCAACUGAGAAACCUUGAACUCAGGCUUUAGUGUGUGAAUUAUCCCAAGCUGCUCAUCCCAGUUUUGGAUAAUCCCAAACUGUCCUAUGUGGAUAACUACCUGGACAAAGGAUUCCUGUGAAGGAAACCAAUUUGAACCUUGUUUAAAAGUUGUUCCCUUGGUCUUCAAACUCAAAUGGUCAAAUGAAUGCAGCAGUGUUGUAGAAACAUUCAUGAUCUCCAAAAACAGUCAUUAUUAAAAUCUUACAAAUCAUAUUUCCAAAAAGGUUUCACAAUUUUUAAAAAGGAGUCUCUCAUCUCCCUCACAUCAUGCAACCUGGCUUGUCCUUUGGCCUGGCUACAUCAUGGCAGGGAUCUCUGAAGACACUGUGUCCAGGGGCUGCCAGUGACAGUCCAUCAGAGCGUCAUACAGCUCCUCACUCUGUUCCAUGAACUCCUUGUUGGCCUCAGUCACAUCCAGCUGUGGCAUGGGGUCUGGAAAGCAAGCAAGGAUGGGGUCAGGGAAGUCUAGGGACAGCUGCAAGGGACCUGGUUCAGUUCCCUUCUCCCAGAACUCUGUUCUAUGGUAAGGUCCCUAUCCUGCCAGUUUCUUUCAGGAAGUGAAAGCACUGCCUUGCAGGGUUCUGGGGAAGAUGAAAAUAGAAUAAUGUAUCUAGAGAAUGGGAAAAUGGCAGCUGUUAGCCUGCAUCUAUUAAAAGCUACACCUGUGUCUCUAGCCAUCAUGUAUCCUAGAUUUUCUGGUCUGGUCCUCACUUCAAAUUUGGGUUUAGAAGGUCUGAUCAAAGUUAUUAAGUCCAGAGCAUCAUCUCAAGAACUGACAAUAAGUGCAUAGUGGAAGAACUUCAGUCAAAUAUAGGAGCUGAAAGGCCAAGUCCUGUAUGUAUGUAUGUGUGUGUGUAUGUACUUUAGAGAAAGGGUCUUGCUCUGUCACACAGGCUAGAGUACAGUGGCACACUUACAGCUCACAGCAGCCUUGAACUCUUAGGUUAAAGUGAUCCUCCCGCCUUAGCCUCCCAAAGUACUGAGAUUACAGGCAUGAGUCCCUGUCCCUGGUGGUAAAAUACUAUUAAAAAUUUUUUCUGCACAGUGGCUCAUGCCCAUAAUCCCAGCACUUCAGCAGGUCGAGGCGGGCAGAUCACCAGAAGUCGGGAGUUCAAGACCAGCCUGACCAACAUGGAGAAAUCCCAUCUCUACUAAAAAUACAAAAUGAGCCGGGCAUGGUGGCACAUGCCUAUAAUCCCAACUACUCGGGAGGCUGAGGCAGGAGAAUUGCUUGAACCCAGGAGGUGGAGGUUGCGGUGAGCCGAGAUGGCACCACUGCAUUCCAGCCUGGGCAACAAGAGCAAAACCCCGUCUCGGCCGGGCGCGGUGGCUCACGCCUGUAAUCCCAGCACUUUGGGAGGCCAAGGCAGGCAGAUCACAAGGUCAAGAGAUCGAGACCAUCCUGGCCAACAUGGUGAAACCCCGUCUCCACUAAAAAUAGAAAAAUUAGCUGGGCGUGGUGGCAGGCACCUGUAGUCCCAGCUACUCGGGAGGCUGAGGCAGGAGAAUCGCUUGAACCCGGGAGGCGGAGGUUGCAGUGAGCCGAGAUCACGCCAUUGCACUCCAGCCUGGGCAACAGAGCAAGAUGCCAUCUCAAAAAAAAAAAAAAAAUUAGCUGGGCAUGGUGACCUGUGUCUGUAGUGCCAGCUACUAGGGAGGCUGAGGCAGGAGGAUCACUUGAGCCUAGGAGGUCGAGGCUGCAGUGAGGCAUGUUCACAUCACUGAUCUCAAGUCUGGGCAACAAAGUGAGACUCUGUCUCAAAAAAAAAAAAAAACUGGGCACUGUGGCUCAUGCCUGUAAACCCAGCACUUUGGGAGGCCGAGGUGGGCAGAUCACAAGGUCAAGGGAUUGAGACCAUCCUGGGCAACAUGGUGAAACCCUGUCUCUACUCAAAUACAAAAAAUUAGCCGGGUAUGGCAGUGCACGCCUGUAGUCCCAGCUACUCGGGAGGCUGAGGCAGGAGAAUCACCUGAACCCGGGAGGCAGAGGUUGCAGUGAACAGAGAUGGCACCACUGCACUCCAGCCUGGCGACAGAGCAAAG